rnacentral:lncRNA from 1 species
AAAAAACCUAUCUGAGGAUGUACGAAUUCCAACGCGCUUUAGUUCUGGGCUGCUUCACUCCUUGCAUGAAUUUUACCUGGGUGUCGGGGCUGUGUGCGCAAAAGCCAAAACCCCAUUUCCCCCCGUAACACAGGAGUCACAGAGUCCAAGCACUGCUCAACGUGCACCAGUACCUAAAACACGGACGGAUCUAAUCUCGUGGCGUGGGGGAGGGAGGGAUUUUGCAAUGUAAACAUUUUGGGGUGCGAGACCCCACUUUGCGAGUGGAUUGCCGGGAUCAGCCCCUCCCCGCUCUCUUGAUCCCCAGAAGAAAGAAGGGAGGGGGAAAACCUUCCUCUCCCCACCCCCAUUCCUCCCUCCCCUCCCGGCACAUCCUUCUCUCACCCCGCCCCACUACCCCAAAUCCACCCCAUACGUUGCACCUCUCCUCCUCUUCCUCUUCCUCGCCAUCCGACUUCUGUUCCGGGAGUGGGGAGGGGGGGAAAGAGCCCCCUCCCAAAUUGCCUGCUUCUUCCCUCAAGUGGAGCUUCUGCGCCGGAUUCGGGCUCUGCGCCGCAGCUCUAGGGGCGCGCGCUUUCGAAAGGGAAGGAGGGGCGGCAGGUAAAUCCCCCCCACCCACGUGGAUGUUGCAGGAAAGGAAAGGAGAAUCGCGAGCGAGGACAAAGAGGAUCAGGAUCCUCAGGAGCGUGUCCUGGCGGCCGGAUUAAGGAUUUUCUUUCCUCCCACAUUGAAGAAGGUGAUGGAGAAGACAUUCAGAAUUCUGAGGGAUGGAAUACUUUAUUUCAUUAGGUAUAGACAUUAAAAUGUGUGAAA